rnacentral:lncRNA from 1 species
CUUCAAGGAUGACUCAACUGAAAGGAACACCUCCAAGGGAAAAUGUUUCCUUCACUUUUCUUUUUUCAUCUUGCAACUCGAUUCAUAGUUUCUUGCAAUACCUUGAGCUGGAAAGAAGGUUCAGAAACAUCAUAAACAAGUUUGUCAAAAGCUGUAAGCUUACAACAAUUUCAGAAGGAGUUGUAAACAAGAUUUAGCGAGCAGAUUCACUUUUUAGAAUAAAAUGUUUUUUUCACAACUGUUUUAGCAAAGUGAAGAUCUUGUGUACAUUAAUUUGUACCAGUAGCAGUUUUAAAUUUUCUUUAGAUUUUUAGAACUAAAGAAGAUACAACCAAUAGUUUUAAUUUUUCCUUAGGUUCUUACUGCUCGUUUCCGAAGAAUAGUGAAACUCUUGGCAGCAAUAGUUUUUCCAACAACUGAACUAGCAGGAACUAGCAGAACAAGCAGACCAGCAAAAAUAGUAGAACGAGCAAAAACGCGGAGGAAUAGUAGAACAACAGGAAACAAGCGGGAACAGUAGAAACACAGGAAACAACCCAAAAAGCAUGCUAGUAGGAAGUUGUGUGUGAAGCCACAACUAUUGGAUGUAGAAUGCGUCUAAUAGGACCUCCCCUAUCUGAUGCCCGUUAGCGUGUGUGCUUUCGGUGAGGCAAGCCUCCAGUUCGGCCGGCCCAUGUACGGCAUUGGCGUUUUGCCGUCUGAUUCUUUCACUGCUGCUUCCUUGUGUGUUCCUUCCAGGUUUUCUUUGUUUUUUUACUUCUAGAGAUUUCACAGGUUUUGUCCGGGUUUUGGUUAUUUUGUUCUUGUUUUUUUACUUUUUCUAUUUUGAUUCAUUUUACUUUUAUGUUUCUUUUUUAUUUUCUGUGUCUUAUUUUCUUCACUUUACUUCGUAUUAUAUAGAAGUUCAUCACGUAUUACAAAAAUCUUCAUCGUAUUAAAACAAUGUUCAUUUUAUAUUAUGAAAUAGUUUGCAUUGCAUUAUAAAAAUGUUCAUCCUGUAUUACAAAAUGUUCAUCAUAUAUCAUGAAA